rnacentral:misc_RNA from 1 species
UCUGUCUUACGACAGCAGUCUCGUGUGACACUUAUAACACACGAUAGGGGUUGCGCUCGUUAAUCCACUUAAGGAGACCACUCACGUGACGAGCUGACGACAGCCGUGCAGCACCUGUCCAGAACCCUCGAAGGCUGUCAUGUUUCCAUGACAUGCAUCUGGAUUUCAAACCCUGGUGAGGUUUCUCGGUUAGAGUCGAAUUAAACCGCAUGAUCCACUGCUUGUGCAAGUUCCCGCCUAUUUCUUUGAGUUUUAAGCUUGCGCUCGUACUUCCCAGGCGGCAGACUUAACGCGUUAGCUUCACCACUGGAAGGGUCGAUGCUCCCAAUAGCUAGUCUGCAUAGUUUAGGGCGUGGACUA